CCACGCCUUUUUUUAGGGGAAUUGCUUGUGAAAAUAACGUGCGACGACGACUUAGCGAGCGGAUCCCCUUAAAAAAGACAUAGCGAGCAGAUUCCUUUAAAACUGGUAGGAAUGGAUACGAUUGAUGACGUUGAUAAAUAGUGGUGAAUGUUGGCCUAAUUUACUAUCAUCAUGCAUGGAAACGAAUCAUCAAGAAAAAGAAUACUUCCUAUUACUACACUCAUAGGAAGCUUCCUAAUCUCUGCUACCAAACAGUUUCUGCCCAAACAAGGAAGGAAAGUUAUGGAUGUGAUUCGGAAGGAAACAAACGUUAUGAAGAUUAAUUAAUUUAGAUUUGAUCUUUAGAGAUUGAUUGUGAUUGAUUCUUUUACAUAAAGAAAUUACUAAAUAAUUUGUGUCAGUAUGGAAAGUUCUGAUCCGUUUAGUUUUUUUCGUUGUGUGAGAGGGUGAAGUGAAAAUAAACCGAUGAAGUGGGGGAGGCGACGAAAAAAAUCUACGACGGUUAACCUACGAAAAAAAACCGGACGGAAGUGGUGGGACGAAAAAAAACCUGGAAGCGAGACUACCAACUGCUCCAUUAAGAAUAGAAAUUAAUUUAGAGUUUUCCUCUUAUAUGAACAAGUAACUGCACAUCUGGUUUUCUUAUGCUGUAAAACACCAUCGAAGCGACCACGAUACUCGCUUGAAAUAGGUCAUCAUAAAUAUUGUUAGGGUACGUCCAAAUUUCAAAGUCAAAAGAAAUAUUCAGUGUAACCUUAUUUCUGAUGUUUCAAAUAAUUGGAUUAAAAACUGUUGCAUAAUGGCACUAGAGCAGGUUAUAUUUAUUUUUUCUCCCGGGCAUUUCUACUAGUACCCAACUAAAACGCCCUCGUUCUCCGAGACUCCCGCAGUCUCCUGAGUCCUGAUCCUCUCCCAAAAACAAACCCACCCUCGUUCUCCAAAACGGAUCGAAGGUCCAUCGUCGCCUGCUUCCGCUCCGAUGGGUGCCAGGCGUCCGUUUGCUUCCACUCUGACGGGUGCCCCAGGCGUUCCUCUGCUUCCUCUGGGAUGGCGGAUCAGUCGGCAUGCAACGUUCACAGUGGGGCGCCAAGAAUUAGAUGGACAAGUCAUCUGUGAAGCAGCAGGUAGAAGGCUACCUGGCAGUGCCUCCAGGGAUUCGCUGUACAAUACAUGUCACCACAGCUAUGUCGAUGAAGACUCAAAGUGAUGCUUUCAUUAUAUCACUUGCCAAGUUUACAUCACUUCACUCUGCUGCGUAUGUAUAGCAGAAAAUUAUUGAAGUAUUUAAGGUCCGUUCUUUGUAUCUUGUAUGAAUAAUCUCUUGUAGGUUAAUUGGCUUGCAGCAAGGUUGAAACCCCACUCUGUAGUUUCUCUUCAGAUCUUGCAGUAGCAAAGCAAGGGAAUGUGAUGCAAGACUGGAGAGUGGCAAAGUGGCAGAUGACAUCUAUGUGGAGGGUGAUGAUGAUCCAUGUGGCAAUGAGCAAUAUGAUAACUAGGGCGAUGACGGUGAUGAACUCGACGUUCUCUUCAAGUAAUGCAACAAAGAGAAGUUCUAAAGUUUGUGGAAAAUUUAGCUUAUGUAAAAUCUUUGUACAAGUUACUACUUUGUUUUGUAUUUGACAAUUUUAAGAUGGAUCAUAAUGGUCAAUGUAAUUUGGAUGCAACUAAUUAGGCCUAUGAUACUUUCCGAGGUUAUCCUAAAUAAAUAUAUAUUAUGGUCUUUUGUGAUG